rnacentral:rRNA from 1 species
UGAACGCUGGCGGCGUGCUUAACACAUGCAAGUCGCACGAGAACGCUUCUGCUUGCAGAGGCUAGUAAAGUGGCGCACGGGUGAGUAACGCGUGGGUAAUCUACCCCCGGAUCCGGGAUAACCCUCCGAAAGGGGUGCUAAUACCGGAUGAGAUCAUAUUUGCUGCGGUGAAUAUGAUGAAAGGUGGCCUCUCCAUGGAAGCUACUGUUUGGGGAUGAGCCCGCGUACCAUUAGCUAGUUGGUGGGGUAAUGGCCUACCAAGGCAGCGAUGGUUAGCUGGUCUGAGAGGAUGAUCAGCCACACUGGAACUGACACACGGUCCAGACUCCUACGGGAGGCAGCAGUGAGGAAUUUUGCGCAAUGGGGGAAACCCUGACGCAGCAACGCCGCGUGAGUGAAGAAGGCUUUCGGGUCGUAAAGCUCUGUCGAGUGGGAAGAAAUCAUGUAUGUUUAAUAUACAUACGUGCUGACGGUACCACAGAAGGAAGCACCGGCUAACUCC